GCGACAGCGGCAGCUGCCUGCGCAGCCCACGUGCUUUUCGAGCCGGAGAGAGAGUCGCGCCUUUCGCUUUACAUUCGGAUGUAAACAAGAGAGGAGAAUUUGCCCAGUCAAUAUGGCCGACUUCCGGCUUCACCACGGCUUCACAACGAGUGACGUCAGGGCCUCUCCUCAGUAUGUUCCUUCC
rnacentral:lncRNA from 1 species